GAUAAUAUGGCAACACAUGUAUACCAUCAAAGACAACAGGUUUCCAUCUCAAAAAUUGGAAUUGAGUGAGAUUCCUAGCAUCCCCAUAUCUUGGAUUAAAUUUCACCUUUGGAUCAACCCAUUCCCGUUUUUCAGGUCAAACCUAGGUUCAUGAAUUUUUAUUUAAAAACCAGUUGAUGAUUAAAGAAAUCAUAUCCUUUAUAAAAUAGAUUAGGUCCAUUCUUACUUUCAAUGUUGAAUCACUAACUCAUACCUCUACCUCCAGCGAUGUGUAUGAUGGUUCCAGGUUCUCAAUUAAGAGCACCCUACUUGUUUCUAUAGCCGCUUUUAGUUCUUCCUCAAAAGGCUGGAAAAGGGAAUAUAGCAAUGUUAAAUGAAAAAACGAGUGAUUUGAGAACAACUUUUUCUGAACCAGGACAGUUGUUGAACUAACUUUAUCUAAACUACUUCAUAGUUUCUGAAAACUGUAAUAUUAUCCCUUGGUCUGAUUUCGAGUGAUGAAAGCCAAUAGCAUGAAAAACAUUGGCUAUUGGAAUGAAUUGUUUCAGAUUCUUUUUAUAAAACAAAACAUGAUUGUAAUGCAGCUAACAGCGGAAACUGGUGGAGGCGUCAGAGAACUUACCAGUUUCUUGUACCAGCUGCUUUUCUUCUGUAAGGCAAGAAAUAAGAGAAAAUAAUUUGGUAAGUCAUAAGUACAUACUAUCUAAUCUACAGUGAGAAUCAUCUUUCCGCUAUGCUCAAGAAAAGAAAUAGAUCAUUUCCCAAAAAUUGUUUACACUUUUCUGCUGUAAAUUGUCAACAUUUCUCUCAGCUAAUCCACCAAAAGAAGAACUGAAGAAGGAUAGAGAUGGUACGUACGAUGUUCUGACUUGGAGCUUUUUCUACAAGAGGAGGGUUUUUAAUGAAUUUCGUCUCUCCUAGUUGAGGGCCUGAAUCAUCUGAAUCAUCUGUUUCUGGCGUG
rnacentral:lncRNA from 1 species